rnacentral:rRNA from 1 species
CGGUUAAGUUAGAAAGGGCGCACGGUGGAUGCCUUGGCACUAGGAGCCGAUGAAGGACGGGACGAACACCGAUAUGCUUCGGGGAGCUGUAAGCAAGCUUUGAUCCGGAGAUUUCCGAAUGGGGAAACCCACCACUCGUAAUGGAGUGGUAUCCAUAUCUGAAUACAUAGGAUAUGAGAAGGCAGACCCGGGGAACUGAAACAUCUAAGUACCCGGAGGAAGAGAAAGCAAAUGCGAUUCCCUGAGUAGCGGCGAGCGAAACGGGACCAGCCCAAACCAAGAGGCUGGCCUCUUGGGGUUGUAGGACACUCUGUACGGAGUUACAAAGGAACGAGGUAGAUGAAGAGGUCUGGAAAGGCCCGCCAUAGGAGGUAACAGCCCUGUAGUCAAAACUUCGUUCUCUCCUGAGUGGAUCCUGAGUACGGCGGAACACGUGAAAUUCCGUCGGAAUCCGGGAGGACCAUCUCCCAAGGCUAAAUACUCCCU